UUUCCAGCUCAGCAACUUUAGCAAAACUGUGUGACCAUUAAGUCUUUGUACUUUGCUGCUGAAACCUUAUGGCCCAGAAAUAAUAAGUGUCCAUUAAUCACCUAAACUUGUACAUUAAUGCAUCCUUCCCCUGUGGUGACCUUCCUCAACUGGAGAAGAUGUAAAGGUGAUCAAUAACAUUGUUAUUGACACUUGCAAUUCAUGUGAAGUGUGCAACUAAAAUAACCACAGGCAGUGACUUUGAAGUAAGAAAACAAAGCAGCAAGAGGCAAUCCCUUCCUAUAAUGGCUAUUUGCAGGAGUCAUGCCUAGGUGAAAAGAUGAUUUGAAGAGAUGAAGGAAAUGAGACUGAUGAUCUUAAAGCAAGAAGAAGAAAGAAUGAAGUAAAAGUUGGAGGAAAUUCCAUCAAAAAGACUGGGAUUUUCCUAUGCUUUCAGACAUUUUGUUAUUUAUUUUCCUAAUUUAAAUUGCUAGUUACCUUUUGAAAUCGUAUCACAAGCAUGGAAAUAAGUGCAAACAAGGGAAAACCCCCACAUUUAUGGGCUUCUGCAUGUUUUGUCUGUCUAUUAAAGUGCUAUAGCAGUACUUGAAGCAUGAACUGAGGACGUUUCUAUGAAUAUCUAACAUUGCUGUAUUAAAGUACUGUAUUUCUUUCAUAAAUGUGAAGUCUGAAGGAAUCAGAUCUGUUAGUUUAGUCU